UUGGUUUGCCAUUGCCUUCUGCAGAUGGUUGACUAGGAGUUCCUCUUCCACCAAUAGCAGGUGGUAUGUUGGAAGGAUUUACAAGUUGAUAUGCAACCUAUUUGGCCACAUUAUGAAUGUACCUUUCUUGGCCAAGUGCUGGAGUGGGAUUUGAACAUAGAGCAUCUGGCUCAGUGGCAGGGACUCUACUACUGUACCACAAGAUCUUUGUGAAGGACUAACAGCAAGUAAAAAGGACUAAGCUCCAUUACAUUAAGAUGUAGUAUAUAAAAUGGGCGAAAUUACAUACGUUACCUUGAAGAAAAUUGCACUAAAGCUGUGCUUAGCCGUAGAGGAAUAUAACUGGCUUUGGGUCUAUCCCUUGAGAUUAAUCCAUUAAAUAGUUACCCUAGAUGUGAGAAAUCAAGUUGAAAUGGCAAAAGAGGCAGGAAGCAGUGCUGAGGUAAGGUAAAAGGUUAACUUUAUUGCAAUGGUAAUGGGGACGUCUGAAAGUGUGGGGGCUGCAGAACUUAAAACGAAAAUGCCUUUUUGUAAUCUUCAAACUUGAAAAGUCGACUUUAAAAUGUUGAGAAAAUGAAGAACCAAUACUCAAUAAGUGAGAUACAGCUGUAUAAUCCUCACAGAACUUGAUGUUCACAACAGGGAAAUAAGGGUUGCCAAAAAGUUUGGAGCCACAGUUUUGAUUAGGUAGUUAAAUUAUUAGUUUGGUUACCCUGGGGAUGCAGACCUGGUGUUUACUUUGAGAAUCUCUUGAACACAAUGGAACAAUACUAGUUUUAAUGUAAUGUACAAGAGUGCAAUUUAUUUUUUCAUUAGCAGGACAAAAAAAUCCACAAUUGUAACAAUAAUGGAACAGGACUUCUUCUGUGCUGGACACUUACACAACUCAUCCUGUCACAAUUCCCAGGUUAUAGAAAUAAAGUGGUUGGUACCAUGUCAAAUUGGCAUAGCUGGGUGACCUAUGAGGGGAAGGAAGAAAUGUUGACAUUUGCAAACUCUGGAUCCAAGUGCUGAAAUGUCUGGCUGCAGAUCAUUUAGAAGAGUUGACUCCCUUCUAAGGGCUGCUUUAUGACUUGAUGCAAAUAGAAAACCAGCUGUUUCAAAAUUGGAGGUUCCACUUCAGAUAUUAGCUUCAUGUAAGUACCAGUUUCUUUUUAAUUAAUCACAGGCUGUGGGUAUUGCUGACAAGGCCAGCAUUUAUUGACCAUACCUAAUUUCCCUCGAGGUGGCGGCAAAGAGUUGCCUUCUUGAACCGCUACAGUCUGUGUGGUGAAGUUCCUCUCAAGAUGCUGUUAGGGAUGGAGUUCUAGGAUGUUGACCCUUCAACGAUGAAGGAAUAGUGAUAUAUUUUGAAAUUAGAAUGGUGUGGGAUUUUAUGGGGAACUUGGAGGUGUUGGUGUUCCCUGAACCUGUUGUUGUUCUUGUUCCAGGUGGUAGAGGUUAUGCAUUUGGGAGGUACUGUCAAAGAAGCCUGAUGAAUUGCUACAGUGCAUCUUGUACAUGCCGCAUCCUCAUUAUUCAGUGCCCCAACGGCGAAGGGAGUGAAUGUUUGUGGUGAAUGGAGUGCCAAUCAAGUGGGUGGCUUCAUCCUGGAUGGUGUCGAAAUUCUCAAAUGUAGUUGGAGCUGCCCUCAUAUAGACAAGUGGAACUGAAUGCUACAAACAUCAGUAAACACCCUUACUUGUGACUUUAUGAUGGAGGGAAGGUUGUAAAUAAAGCCUAGGACACUGCCCUAAGAAACUCAUACAACAAUAUCCUGGGACAAAGAUAAUUGGCCUCCCAUGACCACAACAAUUUUCCUUUAUCUUAGCAGGUUAUGACUCUAUCAGGUUAUUGUUAAGUGCCACUUAGUAGCACUGUCGACAUCACUUUGCUGUUGACAGAGUAGAUCUUUAGGGCAUUAAUUAGCCAGACUGAUUUGUCCUGCUUUUUCAGGACAGGAUGUACCUGAUCAAUUUUCCACUUUAUCUUGUAGAUGCCAGUAUUGUAGCUGUACUGGAACAGCUUGGCUAUGGGUGUGGAUAGUUCUGGAGCAGAAGUCUUCAGCAUUACAGCAGAACUCCACGUUUGAAUCCCUCCAAUCAGGCUUCCGCCCGCCACAGCAUUGAGAUGGCUCUUAUCAAAGACACAAAUAACAUCCAUGUGACUGUAACAAAGGAGCAAUUUUCACAAGUUCUAAAUGCUUAGAAAAGGCUUAGAGGCCUGAAGAUGAAAGUCAGCCCUGGAUUGGAUGCAGCUACAAUAUAUCAUCUUUUCUUGUAAAAGCCUGCUGGUCAUUUAUGGUAGAUUAUGGAACUGGAGUAAAUAUUCAUAAUUUAAAAGACACUGUUCUAUGCUAAACUGACACAGGGAUGAGGAUAAUUCUUAAAAUUAGCAGAAAGCAAAGAAGGGAAAUCAAAUUGAUCAAAAAUUUAAAUCUGUUCGCUCCAAGAAAAGUAUUGCCACCUUGCUGUAUUUUGGCCUUUUUUAAACCUAAUGUCUGAAGUCAUAUUAAAGGACUUCAAUUUGAACUGAACAUUAAAUAAAAGCAAAAUAGUGUGGAUGCUGGAAAUCUGAAAUAAAAACAGAAAAUGCUGGAAAAGCUCAGCAUGUCUGGCAACAUCUGUGGAGAGAGAAACAGAGUUAACGUUUCGCACCGU